AGAACCUCUCUGUACAGACCUCUGAUUCCAUAGUUGUAGCUGAGCAAGAUGCAAAUGAGAUGACAUCUCACCAAGAUACAGUCGCAAGGAAGCUUGAUUUGCCUCCAUUAGCUCCGAUUGAAGCAGAAGUAGAUCUGGCUCCACUAGUUCCGAUUGAGGAAGAUUCAGACCUAUUGAAGGCAUCAACCACUGGAAUAGUAGCCAUGCAGUAGUCCCUACAAGUUCAACCAGCAAUGAAAGCAAAGGAGAACCCGGAGAGCAGCAGAAACAGAUUGGAGGAACCCAAAAAGAGUUGGUCUCGACAACCACUGGAAUAGUAGCCAUGCAGCAGUCCCUACAAGUUCAACCAGCAAUGGAAGCAAAUGAGAACUCGGAGACCAGCAGAAACAGAUUGGAGAAACCCAAAAAAGAAUUGGUCUACUCUAGUUCAGAAAAAUAGGUUUGCGACACAUGGAAUGACGUUAGACUAUAUACCUCCUGUAAUGAUUGAUUGACAACCUGUGGUACAAUUGAACAAAUCAGAGGUAGAAGCGGAAGACAUAAAAAUGGAAAUGUGCUUUGGUUGUAUACAUCCUAUGGGAUGGGCCUGGUUUCAAUGCUAUUUGAACAAAUCAGAGGUAGAAGCGUAAGAGAUAAAAUGGAAAUGUGCUUUAGUUGUGUACAUCCUAGGGGAUGAGCCUGGUUUCAAUGCGAUGAAGAGGUUUAUCAAUCUUCACUAGUCACAUGUCCCAGAGCCAGAUUUGCAUUAUCAUGAGGAAUGUUAUUAUAUAGUUAAAUUCAGAACAAUUGAAGAUGCUAAGGAGAUCCUAUGUGUAGGGCCCUAUUCAAUUGCUAACAGACCUAUGAUUCUUAAGCAAUGGACACUAGAUUUUGAUUUUACAGAGGAAUUUCCUACUGACAUUCCUCUAUGGGUAAAGUUUCCGAAGCUCCCAAUGUCUUGCUGGGGAAUGAGAUCACUAAGCAGGGUUGCAAGUGUCUUAGGGAAACCUAUAUUUGCAGAUGAGUGUACACCCCUGUCCAAACUGUGCCUAUACAAAAAGAGAUAAUAGUGCAACAGAAUGUGCCAAAUGAAGUUCCUACAGAGGUCAAUGUACCUCAAACUCUGAUGAUAGAGAAAGAAAAGCAAGAAGACAAAGGGAAGCAACCUCAGAGUCCAAUAUUCAACUUUAUUAAUUUCCCACCAUUGUCUCCCAUUACUGUUAGUAAUAGAUUUGAGGCAGUCUCUGGUAGUAAGCAUGAGGUUCUAACCUCAAACUCUGAUGAUAGAGAAAGAAAAGCAAGAAGACAAAGGGAAGCAACCUCAGAGUCCAAUAUUCAACUUUAUUAAUUUCUCACCAUUUUCUCCCAUUACUGUUAGUAAUAGAUUUGAGGCAGUCUAUGGUAGUAAGCAUGAGGUUCCACCUGGGGGAAAAGGUGGAACAAGUUUUUAUCAAUGAAGUGGUUAUUCUGGAAUAUAAGAGGUGUAAAUAAAAGAUACAAGCAAAAAAAAGAAGUUAGGGAGUAUAUUAGGAGAAAUAAAAUUAGUCUUGUUGGUUUGGUAGAAACAAAGGUUAAGCAAAUAAAUGCUAGUAGAAUUGCUAAGCUACUGGCACCUGGAUGGGGUACUUUAACAAACUAUGUUUCUGCUCAAAAUGGUAGAGUAUGGAUUCUAUGGGAUCCAAACAUAUUUGAAGUUGAGGGUAUCCAGGAGGAAGGUCAAUUGAUACAUAGUAAGGCUAGUAGAUGAACAGGAGAUAUUACAUGCUUUCUUACUGUGGUAUAUGGAUAUAAUGGAAUGGAACAAAGAAGAUGUCUUUCUACCUCACUGUGGUGUAUGGGUAUAAUGGAAUGGAACAAAGAAGAUCCCUAUGGAGUAGUCUACAAGCACUUUCAUCAGGGAUAACAGAUGCAUGGGUAGUUGAUGGGGACUUCAAUGUUGUUUUAUAUGACAAGGACAGACAAUCUUGUAACCCUGUCAGAUAUUCUGAAGUUCAAGAAUUUAGUCAAUGAAUUCAACAAGCUGGACUGUCUGAAUUACCUUGGAAGGGUGAGUACUAUACCUGGACAAACAAGCAGACUGGAGUAGAUAGAGUAUGUAGCAGAUUGGAUAGAGUAUUUGAAAAUUAUGAGUGGAUGAUCAAGUGGAGCAAAGUGGAAAAUAUAUAUGAGCAGCCACUAAUUUCUUAUCACAAUCCCAUGAAAGUGACAUUGGUAGCUUCUUCCUGGUAAGGCAAGAUACAAGUGGAAACUUUAUAUGAUCAAUCACUGAUUUCUGAUCACAAUCCCAUGAUAGUGACAUUGGCAUCUUCUUCCUGGAAAGGCAAGAUAUCUUUCAAAUUUUUCAAUGUCUGGACUGAACAUGAGGAGUUUCACCAGAUCGUGGCCAAUGUCUGGCAUUCUGAUAACCCAUGAACUAUGAAAGCAGUAUGGUCCAAGCUCAAAGCAUUGAAAGGUCCUUUAGAGACCUUAAAUGUUAAGGAGUUCAAGACUAUCCCUCAGAGGAUAGAACUUUGCAUACAAGAACUGGAAGAAGUACAAGAGCAAAUGACAAAGGCAUAUUCUGAUGAGUUGCAGCAGAAAGAGAAAGAGANNNNNNNNNNNNNNNNNNNNNNNNNNNNNNNNNNNNNNNNNNNNNNNNNNNNNNNNNNNNNNNNNNNNNNNNNNNNNNNNNNNNNNNNNNNNNNNNNNNNNNNAUUGAAGAAAGUGUCCUACAGCAGAAGGCUAGAGCAAAAUGGAUACAACUUGGAGAUACUAAUACCAAGUACUUUACUGCAGUCCUGAAAGAAAGAAGAAUAAACAGAUCACGGAACUCAUAAGAAGAAUAAACAGAUCACGGAACUCAUAAAUGUAGUGGGAGUCAAAGUCAUUACAGCUGCAGAUAUAAAAAAGGAGAUCACUGGUUUCUAUAAGACACGUAUGGGAUCAUCAGCUUCAUUUCUUCCAGCAAUAAAUAGAAUGUAUAUGACAAAUGGUCCAGUCCUAACACAGCAGCAAAGAAGGGAAUUAUGUGUGGAUAUCACUGAUCUCUUGGANNNNNNNNNNNNNNNNNNNNNNNNNNNNNNNNNNNNNNNNNNNNNNNNNNNNNNNNNNNNNNNNNNNNNNNNNNNNNNNNNNNNNNNNNNNNNNNNNNNNNNNNNNNNNNNNNNNNNNNNNNNNNNNNNNGGCCAAUUGCUUGCUGCUCAGUCCUCUACAAAAUGAUAUCAAAAAUCCUGGCCAAUAGACUGCAAAAAGUCAUGCCUAGCAUCAUCAGUGAAGCCCAAGAAGGUUUUAUCCCCGGCAGAAAGAUAGCUGAUAAUGUCAUAUUGACACACGAGUUAGUCAAAAGUUAUACGAGAGCACAUGUGACACCUAGAUGCAUGAUUAAUAUUGAUUUCCAAAAAGCCUAUGAUUCAAUUGAGUGGAUUUUUCUACAACAGGUUAUGGAGGAGAUUGGCUUCCCAAGUAGAUUUACUAACUGGAUUAUGGAAUGCAUCAAAAUAGUGAGCUUCUCAGUACUGGUCAAUGGAGAGGAAACAGAGCCCAUUGAAGCUGCUAGGGGACUUAGGCAAGGGGAUCCAAUUUCCCCCUUCCUAUUUGCACUUGUCAUGGAAUACCUGAGCAGAUCAUGUAAUGAACUAAAGAAAGAACCAACUUUUCAGUUCCAUCCUAGAUGCAAGAGUACCUGAGCAGAUCAUGCAAUGAACUAAAGAAAGAACCAACUUUCCAGUUCCAUCAUAGAUGCAAAAAGUUAGGAAUUACACACAUGUGCUUUGCUGAUGACUUGUUACUGUUUGCUAAAGGAGAAAUUGCCUCUAUCAUAGCCAAGUUAGGAAUUACUCACAUGUGCUUUGAUGAUGACUUGUUAGUGUUUGCUAAAGGAGAAAUUGCCUCUAUCAGAGCCAUAUUCAAAUGUUUCUCACAAUUUUCUGAAGCCUCUGGCUUGUAGGCAAACCUGAGCAAGAGUUCAGUAUACUUUGGUGGUGUUACACUGGAAGUGCAGAAAUAGAUUAUAGACCACCUUGGUUUUGUUCAUGGUGAGCUACCAUUCAAAUAUCUAAGUGUUCCUCUUUCCACCAAGAAGAUUGCCUUGAUCCAAUGGCAGCCUCUGGUGGAGAGGAUUACUGCUAAGAUCACUUCAUGGACUGCCAGGAAACUAUCUUACACUGGGAGGAUCCAACUAGUCAAAUCUGUUCUAUUUGGCAUUCAAGCAUACUGGGCACAGAUAUUCAUCUUUCCUGCUAAAGUCCUUAAGAUGAUUGAAGCAAUAUGUAGAAUUGUUUGGUCUGGUCUAAACUCCAUCACUAAGAAAGCCUAUGUCUCUUGGGACAGAAUGUCCACUCCCAAAUCAGCAGGAGGGAUGAACCUUAUUAAUCUUAUGCUCUGGAAUAAAUGCUUAUGUCUCUUGGGACAAAAUGUGCACUCCCAAAUCAGCAGGAGGGAUGAACCUUAUUAAUAAUCUUAUGCUCUGGAAUAAAGCUGCAAUUGCAAAGACUUGAUGGGACCUAGCUCACAAAAAGGAUAAACUGUGGAUAAGGUGGAUAACUGCUUACUAUAUAAAACACAAUCUGAUAGAAGACAUGCCAAUCCCUGCACAGGCAAGUUGGAUGGUCAGGAAAAUUAUAGCCUCUAGAAUAAUAAAUAUAUAUAAGCACCUCCUAAACUUACUAUAUAAAACACAAUCUGAUAGAAGACAUGCCAAUCCCUGCACAUGCAAGCUGGAUGGUCAGGAAAAUUAUAGCCUCUAGAGUUGUUCUGCAGAAUUUUUAACACUGGAGGAGACAUGACUGCUCCGUUAGACAACUAUAUCAUUUGCAGUUAGGAGACCUGCCGAGAGUACCAUGGAAGAAUCUGAUCAU
rnacentral:lncRNA from 1 species